GUCCACGCCUAACGAUGACAACUGGAUGUCGGAGGUUGCCUUCCGGUGUCGUAGCUAACGCGUUAAGUUGUCCGCCUGGGAAGUACGGCCGCAAGGUUGAACUCAAGGAAUUGACGGGACCCGCACAAGCGGUGGAGCAUGUGGUUUAAUUCGAUGCAACGCGAAGAACCUUACCUGGUCUUGACAUCCUAGGAAUCCUGCAGAGAUGCGGGAGUGCCUUCGGGAACCUGGAGACAGGUGCUGCAUGGCUGUCGU
rnacentral:rRNA from 1 species